AGAGUAAUAUCCCAGCACUGGCACCAGAGUUGCACAGAACUAGGUGGAGCAGAGUAUACAAAUAAAGAGGCAUGGCUUUGAGGAGAUCGUGUCAAGUGGAGCAUUAGUUGCAGCAAGUGCCAGCAUAAGAAUGCUGCAGUCUCUCUAGGAAAGUCCAAGACAACAAAUGGUGUAGCUGCCAAGCAGUAGGGUGCCUACAACAAGUUCCAAGGUGGUGCCAAAUAGCAAGCAAAGAUCUUCAACUAUGGAGAUAGUCAUCCCAAAGGUCUCCAAGAAAGCUCAAAAGUUCAAGAAGAUUGACGGUGGCAAAGAUAUUUGCAUAAGGCGUUGUCAGGAUAUACAACAACAGCA
rnacentral:lncRNA from 1 species